rnacentral:rRNA from 1 species
AGGAUUCCCCUAGUAACGGCGAGUGAAGAGGGAAGAGCCCAGCACCGAAGCCUGCGGCAGUUUUGCUGUUAGGCAAUGUGGUGUUUGGGUCGGCUCGUGGGACCGCCACUCCACUCGAAGUCCAGCAUUGAGUAUGGUUUCUGGAUUUGGCCCAGAGAGGGUGAAAGGCCCGUACGGGUGGAGUAUCAGACAUGUGAGGUGGUUCACCAGGCCGGCCUUAGAGUCGGGUUGUUUGGGAAUGCAGCCCAAAGCGGGUGGUAAACUCCAUCCAAGGCUAAAUACUAGCACGAGUCCGAUAGCGAACAAGUACCGUGAGGGAAAGUUGAAAAGUACUCUGAAGAGAGAGUAAACAGUACGUGAAACCGCAUGCAGGUAAACGGGUGGCGUCAAGCUGCAGGCCCAGAGAAUUCAGUCGGCUAGGAUGUUGUGUAUGCGCCUGGCGCAUCUAUCAGUCGGAGUAUGAUUGGGUAGUCCACCAGUAAACGGUGGGCCCGGCCGCAAGGUCGGGAUACGUGUACCGGACGGGUGCCGGAGCGUGCUAUCCAUCUGUGGACUGUCUAGCCGGUGCACUUUCUCUGUGGUCAACACCACGACCGGUGGUAUUGCCAGUCUGCUGUGUCCAAGUUGCAUCUGGUGGGUCCUCGUGGCUUACUGGGUGUGAUCACAGGCAAAGUCAGUAAACGGCGUAGAGGUGUUUCGGCACUUUUGCGUGUUAUCGGAUGCUGUUUGUGAACGGGCCUGCUCGGUGUUUGUUGUAACCGACUCUGGGUGGUCCGGUGGGACAUGGUGGUAAGAAUAACUGUGCAAGGCACCGGGGUUAUCGGCCUCAAAUGCGCCCUGCACCCACGUUGCAAGUGGUAUGUAAUAUCGGCGGUGUCGUUGCUGCCUGCCCGGUGUUGGGUGUGAUUGGCGUGUUGCCUGCUCAAAGUGGUAGGUCCGCCAGUGGCUCGACUCGGGAUGGGUAGUUGGCGGUGCUGUCGGUGUGGGGCGUUGUGGCCAAAA